rnacentral:rRNA from 1 species
GACGAGGGGUCCAAGCGUUGUUCGGAAUCAUUGGGCGUAAAGCGGGUGUAGGUGGCUCUAUAAGUCAGAAGUGAAAGCCCCGGGCUUAACCCGGGAAGUGCUUUUGAUACUGCAGAGCUUGAAUGUGGGAGAGGGUAGUGGAAUUCCAGGUGUAGUGGUGAAAUACGUAGAUAUCUGGAGGAACACCGGUGGCGAAGGCGGCUACCUGGCCCAACAUUGACACUGAGACCCGAAAGCAUGGGGAUCAAACAGG